rnacentral:rRNA from 1 species
GCGGCGGACGGGUGAGUAAUGCCUAGGAAUCUGCCUGGUAGUGGGGGAUAACGUCCGGAAACGGGCGCUAAUACCGCAUACGUCCUGAGGGAGAAAGUGGGGGAUCUUCGGACCUCACGCUAUCAGAUGAGCCUAGGUCGGAUUAGCUAGUUGGUGGGGUAAAGGCCUACCAAGGCGACGAUCCGUAACUGGUCUGAGAGGAUGAUCAGUCACACUGGAACUGAGACACGGUCCAGACUCCUACGGGAGGCAGCAGUGGGGAAUAUUGGACAAUGGGCGAAAGCCUGAUCCAGCCAUGCCGCGUGUGUGAAGAAGGUCUUCGGAUUGUAAAGCACUUUAAGUUGGGAGGAAGGGCAGUAAGUUAAUACCUUGCUGUUUUGACGUUACCAACAGAAUAAGCACCGGCUAACUUCGUGCCAGCAGCCGCGGUAAUACGAAGGGUGCAAGCGUUAAUCGGAAUUACUGGGCGUAAAGCGCGCGUAGGUGGUUCAGCAAGUUGGAUGUGAAAUCCCCGGGCUCAACCUGGGAACUGCAUCCAAAACUACUGAGCUAGAGUACGGUAGAGGGUGGUGGAAUUUCCUGUGUAGCGGUGAAAUGCGUAGAUAUAGGAAGGAACACCAGUGGCGAAGGCGACCACCUGGACUGAUACUGACACUGAGGUGCGAAAGCGUGGGGAGCAAACAGGAUUAGAUACCCUGGUAGUCCACGCCGUAAACGAUGUCGACUAGCCGUUGGGAUCCUUGAGAUCUUAGUGGCGCAGCUAACGCGAUAAGUCGACCGCCUGGGGGAGUACGGCCGCAAGGUUAAAACUCAAAUGAAAUUGA